UUGCUCCUUUGACGUUAGCGGCGGACGGGUGAGUAACACGUGGGUAACCUACCUAUAAGACUGGGAUAACUUCGGGAAACCGGAGCUAAUACCGGAUAACAUUUGGAACCGCAUGGUUCUAAAGUGAAAGAUGGUUUUGCUAUCACUUAUAGAUGGACCCGCGCCGUAUUAGCUAGUUGGUAAGGUAACGGCUUACCAAGGCGACGAUACGUAGCCGACCUGAGAGGGUGAUCGGCCACACUGGAACUGAGACACGGUCCAGACUCCUACGGGAGGCAGCAGUAGGGAAUCUUCCGCAAUGGGCGAAAGCCUGACGGAGCAACGCCGCGUGAGUGAUGAAGGGUUUCGGCUCGUAAAACUCUGUUAUUAGGGAAGAACAAACGUGUAAGUAACUGUGCACGUCUUGACGGUACCUAAUCAGAAAGCCACGGCUAACUACGUGCCAGCAGCCGCGGUAAUACGUAGGUGGCAAGCGUUAUCCGGAAUUAUUGGGCGUAAAGCGCGCGUAGGCGGUUUCUUAAGUCUGAUGUGAAAGCCCACGGCUCAACCGUGGAGGGUCAUUGGAAACUGGGAAACUUGAGUGCAGAAGAGGAAAGUGGAAUUCCAUGUGUAGCGGUGAAAUGCGCAGAGAUAUGGAGG
rnacentral:rRNA from 1 species